rfam:Populus trichocarpa scaffold_1_contig_418, whole genome shotgun sequence.
UCUAGAACCCGAGAUAUGGACUGAAUACUAAACAGUGUUUGGGUUGUAAGAUAGAUUCAGACUUUUCUUUUGAUGCUAAUAUUUGGACUCCAAAACAAAAAAAUUGAGUUUUGAACUCUCAUGGAUAUUUUAGGCCUAUGUCUUAGCUUUCCAUC